rnacentral:rRNA from 1 species
UACGUAGGGUGCAAGCGUUGUUCGGAUUCACUGGGCGUAAAGGGUGCGUAGGCGGUCGGGUAAGUCUGAUGUGAAAUCUCACAGCUUAACUGUGAAACUGCAUUGGAUACUGUCCGGCUAGAGGAAUGGAGGGGAGACUGGAAUACUUGGUGUAGCAGUGAAAUGCGUAGAUAUCAAGUGGAACACCAGUGGCGAAGGCGAGUCUCUGGACAUUUCCUGACGCUGAGGCACGAAAGCCAGGGGAGCAAACGGG